rnacentral:tRNA from 1 species
GGAGGAUUGGCCGAGUGGUAAGGCACUGGCUUGCUAAGCCAUGGUCGGGUCCGAGAGGCCCGCGCACGUUCGAUCCGUGCAUCCUCCGCAA